CUUAGGCGUGUGACUGCGUACCUUUUGUAUAAUGGGUCAGCGACUUAUAUUCUGUAGCAAGGUUAACCGAAUAGGGGAGCCGAAGGGAAACCGAGUCUUAACUGGGCGUUAAGUUGCAGGGUAUAGACCCGAAACCCGGUGAUCUAGCCAUGGGCAGGUUGAAGGUUGGGUAACACUAACUGGAGGACCGAACCGACUAAUGUUGAAAAAUUAGCGGAUGACUUGUGGCUGGGGGUGAAAGGCCAAUCAAACCGGGAGAUAGCUGGUUCUCCCCGAAAGCUAUUUAGGUAGCGCCUCGUGAAUUCAUCUCCGGGGGUAGAGCACUGUUUCGGCAAGGGGGUCAUCCCGACUUACCAACCCGAUGCAAACUGCGAAUACCGGAGAAUGUUAUCACGGGAGACACACGGCGGGUGCUAACGUCCGUCGUGAAGAGGGAAACAACCCAGACCGCCAGCUAAGGUCCCAAAGUCAUGGUUAAGUGGGAAACGAUGUGGGAAGGCCCAGACAGCCAGGAUGUUGGCUUAGAAGCAGCCAUCAUUUAAAGAAAGCGUAAUAGCUCACUGGUCGAGUCGGCCUGCGCGGAAGAUGUAACGGGG
rnacentral:rRNA from 1 species